rnacentral:rRNA from 1 species
GGAGUCUGGUCCGUGUCUCAGUACCAGUGUGGGGGACCUUCCUCUCAGAACCCCUACUGAUCGAAGGACCGGUGGGCCGUUACCCCGCCGGCUUCCUAAUCAGACGCAUCCCCAUCCCUUACCGCUGAGCUUUAUUCACCGUUAGAUGCCAUCUAGUGAAACUAUCAGGAGUUAAUCCGGUUUUCACCGGGCUAUGCCUGAGUAGGGGGAAGGUUGGAUACGUGUUACUCACCCGUGCGCCGGUCGCCAUCAAGAUUAGCAAGCUAAUCUCAUGCUGCCCCUCGACUUGCAUGUGUUAAGCCUGUAGCUAGCGUUCAUC